GGUGGUUUUUUCGCUUCUUCCUUCUUCCCCUCCGAUUUCUUAUCGGCCUUUUUAUCGCCGCCACCAGCAGCGGCACAAUCGUCUUUCUUAGGUUCAAGCCUGGCUUUGAUUUUUGGUUGGUCCACUUUCCCCGUCACCGUUAGUUUCUUCUCUUUAGGAACCCCCUCCACCGCAAUCCUUAGUUCCUCUUUUAGGUACGGUGCCAAGGCCUUCACGUCCAUUGUUCCCUUCACAGUGACCAGAUUCUUCGCCGCGUCCAGAGUCACGCUGAGCACACCUGUUUUUAAUUAGCCACGUCAGCCAUCUAUUUUUUACUAUUAGAUUUAAUAUGUUAGUUUGAUCUAAUAAUCAAAUGUAUAAUUAACUAAUUACCUUUGAUUUUCAGUACUUUUGAAAUGCAACCUUCAUAGUGUUCACAGUGUAGCCUGAAUUUCAAAACGACGGUACUCUGCAAGCACCAAGAGUUAUUAAAAAUUAGUUAAAAAAUAAUAACAAUAGAAAACAAAAGGAUAAUCAACGUCUAUAUUCACGAUUAAAUCUUAGUAGCAGUAAUUUACUUAUUUAUUUACCUCUGGAGGUGGUUUUUUCGCUUCUACCUUCUUCCCCUCCGAUUUCUUAUCGGCCUUUUUAUCGCCGCCACCAGCAGCGACACCAUCGUCUUUCUUAGGUUGGGGAGAGAGAAUCUCGACUUUCCUCUUGGUCUUCUCUUCAAGCGUGGCUUUGAUUUUUGCUGGGUCCACUUUCCCCGUCACCGUUAGUUUGUUGCCGGCACAAUCUGUCUUCAUACCUUCCAC
rnacentral:lncRNA from 1 species